rnacentral:rRNA from 1 species
UACAUCGGAACGUGCCCGAGAGUGGGGGAUAACGAAGCGAAAGCUUUGCUAAUACCGCAUACGAUCUCAGGAUGAAAGCAGGGACCGCAGGCCUUGCGCUCACGGAGCGGCCGAUGGCAGAUUAGUAUUGGUGGGAUAAAAGCUUACCAAGCCGACGAUCUGUAGCUGGUCUGAGAGGACGACAGCCACACUGGGACUGAAACGGCCCAGACUCCUACGGGAGGCAGCAGUGGGGAAUUUUGGACAAUGGGCGCAAGCCUGAUCCAGCCAUGCCGCGUGCAGGAUGAAGGCCUUCGGGUUGUAAACUGCUUUUGUACGGAACGAAAAGACUCUGGUUAAUACCUGGGGUCCAUGACGGUACGUAAGAAUAAGCACCGGCUAACUACGUGCCAGCAGCCGCGGUAAUACGUAGGGUGCGAGCGUUAAUCGGAAUUACUGGGCGUAAAGCGUGCGCAGGCGGUUAUGUAAGACAGAUGUGAAAUCCCCGGGCUCAACCUGGGAACUGCAUUGUGACUGCAUAGCUAGAGUACGGCAGAGGGGGAUGGAAUUCCGCGUGUAGCAGUGAAAUGCGUAGAUAUGCGGAGGACACCGAUGGCGAAGGCAAUCCCUGGGCCUGUACUGACGCUCAUGCACGAAAGCGUGGGGAGCAAACAGGAUUAG